rnacentral:rRNA from 1 species
GAUGAACGCUAGCUACAGGCUUAACACAUGCAAGUCGAGGGGCAGCAUGACCUAGCAAUAGGUUGAUGGCGACCGGCGCACGGGUGAGUAACACGUAUCCAACCUGCCGAUUAUUCCGGGAUAGCCUUUCGAAAGAAAGAUUAAUACUGGAUAGCGUAACGAGAAGGCAUCUUCUUGUUAUUAAAGAAUUUCGAUAAUCGAUGGGGAUGCGUUCCAUUAGUUUGUUGGCGGGAUAACGGCCCACCAAGACAUCGAUGGAUAGGGGUUCUGAGAGGAAGGUCCCCCACAUUGGAACUGAGACACGGUCCAAACUCCUACGGGAGGCAGCAGUGAGGAAUAUUGGUCAAUGGACGAGAGUCUGAACCAGCCAAGUAGCGUGAAGGAUGACUGCCCUAUGGGUGGUAAACUUCUUUUAUAUGGGAAUAAAGUGGGCCACGUGUGGCUUUUUGUAUGUACCAUACGAAUAAGGAUCGGCUAACUCCGUG